rnacentral:lncRNA from 1 species
AUAAAUCGCUUUUGCUUAUAUCAUGGUUAAGUCAUCGUUCAUUCCUGGAUCCCUGUGCCACUUGCACGCCGUGUUCUGAAUUCAAACAUAAUUCAAACUCGGUUCAUCUGACAUACCCGAAGGGGCAUCCUUACAGUGGUGACGGCGGCCGGCGACCUUACAGUGGGAUCAAUGAAAAAUAAAUACAAUUUAUGAAAUUCAUUUAAUAUAUAACUUAGAAUUACUUGAGUAAUACAAAGGUUUGAAAAAAAUUUUUUCAUCAAUUAUUUACAGAAAAAAUAUUUAAAAUCUGAAUAAUAUUAAAUGAGGUAAUAUUGUAUUAUUCUAAAAUAUGUGAAUCUUUUCUUUGAUUAUCCAAUAAUAUUAAUUCAAUAUUGACAUUUUCAAUAGGCUUAGUUUUUUAUUUCUAGUAUGAUUAAUAAUGUAUGUUUUAACCUAAUUAGAUAAUAUAUGAGAGAGUUAUUAGAAUAACCAGCAAUUUUUUGACAGUAUACAUUAAUAAUAAAAGUUCAUAAAGCUCUUAAGACAUUGUCCUAUAGUGCUAAAGGGGUUGUUUUACCAAGAAGAUACUAUAGAAGUUCUUUUGCGAGAUAUAUCUUAACUUUAAUCGUAGCCAAAGCAUGGCUGAUCCAGCUGGCCUAUCAAGUAGAAGAUCCUAACCUUGGCCUCCUGUGCACAAUGUUGCUGUAGCAACUAGUAAUAGCCGAAAUAGGCAGUGUCAAGUACUGCACACAACUGGUCCUGAAAGAUCAGAAAAGACAACCCACAACAAAAGCAAAGUUCAAUGAUGGUAAAUUCUCCCACUACAUGAGGAACUUUUGUAAGUCAAUUCACCUAUGACAAAACUGAUGACUGGCUGAGUGCACUAUGCAUAAGUUCAUUGCUUGUAUCUGCAACUCUAACAACUAAGUCUAGGAAAGAUAUUGCUCCUAGUGAUGAGGUGAGCAUUCAAAACAUAUGUCACUCUUGUUGUCUUGCCAAUCAUGGAUAAUCAAAAAUGGAUGAGAUCUCUCCUCUGCUUCAUAUCCUGAUGCAGUCUAUAUGCAGCCUGUAGACUGCCACAGGCCAUCAUGGGGACAAAAUUGAUUGAUGCCAUGCUUUGGUGCUUUCCUAUGGCCAAAUAUCAUUUGGGGCAACUCCAUGAACCUUUGAUGUUCUCCCUAGGGAAGCAAUCUUUCCUUGGUCUGGGGACAAGUCCCCUAAAGUCCAAGUUUGACCACCUUACAGAUGGGCAUCAUUCAGAACUCUAUCCCUCCACCGUUCAUCCUGUCAGCAUAGUAUGCCACUCUGGGAUUUGGAUCCUUAUAGAGGAUUUGUAUCUUAUGCAGGAUAUAUGACAGGCCAAUUCUUAAUCCCAGACCACAGGGACUAGAUGGUCGAAUGGCAAACUACAGAACAUCUUUCAGCAAGGGAUGGGUGCAGCCAGGCUUUACCGACCUAAUGGAUGAAUUUCUUCAUGCGGGACAGUGUCUGGGUUACCUGGCACAGCUUUCCCCAACUGAACUUGUCCAACAUUGCAAGACUUUUCUAUAGAAAGAUAAAUGAAGCUCAAAACAAAUUGAUCCAUCUAGAAUAUCUUGCAACAGUCUACUCUAUGGCCCUAAUCUAUUUUGACUCAUUGCCUAAGGCACGUCGAUGUUUACACAUAUUGCAGAGGAUACAUUGCUGGUUAGUCCUUUAUUGCAGAGAAUGUGGGGAUUAUCUUUUGCCAGAAUAUCACCCUACUCUAGGAUCCACUUAAUUAAUCCUUGUCACUAGGAAGAUAUCAGCCCAGCUGUACAGAUACAGACUUAGUGACAGCCAGUAAGUCUUCCCACCAACUCAACACAGGCUGCUCUCAGAAAUGUGCACCAAUAUAACAUACUGGCACCUAUUUCUAAAAUUUUUUUACAAUGGCAUGCAGCCAGUCUGUUGAAUUCAGUCAAUAGUAAAGAAUAUAAAUAUCUGAUUUUUUUUCAAAAAGUCCUGGUAAUGACAUAAUAACCUUUUAUUUCAUUUUCAAAUAGAAAUAAUCAAAAAGAAAAAUUUAAUUUCAGUUGGUCUCUUUCAUUGAUCCAUCC